GGGUUGUGAGGUUAAGCGAAUAAGCGUACACGGUGGAUGCCUAGGCAAUCAGAGGCGAUGAAGGACGUGCUAAUCUGCGAAAAGCGUCGGUAAGGUGAUAUGAACCGCUAUACCCGACGAUAUCCGAAUGGGGAAACCCAGUAUCCAAUGGAUACUAUCAUUAACUGAAUCCAUAGGUUAAUGAGGCGAACCGGGAGAACUGAAACAUCUCAGUACCCCGAGGAAAAGAAAUCAACCGAGAUUCCCCUAGUAGCGGCGAGCGAACGGGGAGCAGCCCAGAGUCUUAAUCAAUAGCAGUGUCAGGAGAACGGUCUGGAAAGUCCGGCAGUAAAGGGU
rnacentral:rRNA from 1 species